rnacentral:snoRNA from 1 species
CUAGCUAAAAUAAACCAGUCUAUUUGGCUGUCCAGAGGUCUACCAUGUUUGGACAGUCUCUCUAAUCUGGGAAAUCAGAGCUUCACCGUGCACGUUUGCGUGCAAUUGAUGAAGGUUGAACAACUUAAGUUCCGCUGUGGUACUACAGAGACGUAACAUAGCUCUAUUGUUGUUUGUACAUUU